rnacentral:tRNA from 1 species
GGCGGCUGCGGGGACGCUGACGCCCGGUCCGGCUCCUGCCCGGGCGCGGCCGGUUCGGCGCCGCCGGGUGCCU